GGAAAUGUGGCUUAGUGGUAGAGUGCUUGCCUAGCAUGCAUGAAGCCCUGAGUACGAUUUCUCAGUACCA
rnacentral:tRNA from 1 species